rnacentral:lncRNA from 1 species
AAUGGAUGCCUGCUUUGGGCUGAACAUUCUUCUGGGCUUAACAUCUUUUACAGGGAUAGUCACUAGAGAUCUAAGACUGCUUAAAAGUGAUUUUUUAAAAAUUCUCAUUUUAUUUUACUGAUUUAUGGGAAGAUGGGUUUUCUUCUUUGAAUUCUGGGGAUGGGGUACCUUCUGGGGUGAUCUCUCCACUCAAUUGUUAGCUGGCAUAGAAGUUGGGGGGGAUACAGCUAGUUGCUACGCCACCCCUCCUGAGGAGAGCAAAGCCCCAGGAAGGCAGAGACCUCUUCCUUUGACCACCAGGUAGGUAAGAGGCCUCCCCGCCCCCAAGCUGGGGUUUUUGAGAGCCUUUUGUAACCUAACUUCAGCUUCCCCUACCCUGGCCCCCCUGGAGGUGCUGAACCCAAGGCCGGGGCACAAAUAUGGAGGGUGCAGGGUGUUUCUCUGUUCAGUCACUGUUCAGGACACACCCAUGAAUGCACACCAGCCUCAGGCGGUCCCCACCUCCUCUCACUUACAGAAAUGGGCCACAGGAUGAAGGGUAUGUAUCUGUUGAUGGCGAGGGUGUAGGUGAUGAAGAAGAAGCAGAAGAUGGACAUCUCCAUGGUGACGAUGAGCAUCAGGAGAGGGUGCACGCUGGUCCCCGUGAACAGUACCAGUGCAGCUAUCAGGCAGCCCUGCCGGGAGACAUACACCUGAGCUACCGCAAAGGGCUCU